UUGCACGCUGGCGGCCGGCCUCACCCAUGCAAGUCGAGCGGAUGAAGGGAGCUUGCUCCUGGAUUCAGCGGCGGACGGGUGAGUAAUGCCUAGGAAUCUGCCUGGUAGUGGGGGAUAACGUCCGGAAACGGGCGCUAAUACCGCAUACGUCCUGAGGGAGAAAGUGGGGGAUCUUCGGACCUCACGCUAUCAGAUGAGCCUAGGUCGGAUUAGCUAGUUGGUGGGGUAAAGGCCUACCAAGGCGACGAUCCGUAACUGGUCUGAGAGGAUGAUCAGUCACACUGGAACUGAGACACGGUCCAGACUCCUACGGGAGGCAGCAGUGGGGAAUAUUGGACAAUGGGCGAAAGCCUGAUCCAGCCAUGCCGCGUGUGUGAAGAAGGUCUUCGGAUUGUAAAGCACUUUAAGUUGGGAGGAAGGGCAGUAAGUUAAUACCUUGCUGUUUUGACGUUACCAACAGAAUAAGCACCGGCUAACUUCGUG
rnacentral:rRNA from 1 species